UCCACUGUGUUCCUGUUUAUGACAAACUACAAAUUUACCCAGAAUGAAUUAAAUAUCGAUAUUUUAAUAUGAGAAUCGAUUUUUGAACAUAAAUAGCUGUUAUCAAAGAAAUCGAUAUUUCAGUAUCGAUCCGCACGGCACUACGGUCACUACUAUGGAACUCCAAAGUGUUCAACGGCCAUUCGAGGAAACAAUGGAGAAAAGCGAUAAAAAGGAACUUAAAAAAGAUAAUCUCUCAUGUGAAUUUUCAUUUCAGCAAUG